rnacentral:rRNA from 1 species
GAUGAACGCUGGCGGUGUGCCUAAUACAUGCAAGUCGAGCGAACAGACGAGGAGCUUACUCCUCUGACGUUAGCGGCGGACGGGUGAGUAACACGUGGAUAACCUACCUAUAAGACUGGGAUAACUUCGGGAAACCGGAGCUAAUACCGGAUAACAUGUUGAACCGCAUGGUUCAACAGUGAAAGACGGUCUUGCUGUCACUUAUAGAUGGAUCCGCGUCGCAUUAGCUAGUUGGUAAGGUAACGGCUUACCAAGGCAACGAUGCGUAGCCGACCUGAGAGGGUGAUCGGCCACACUGGAACUGAGACACGGUCCAGACUCCUACGGGAGGCAGCAGUAGGGAAUCUUCCGCAAUGGGCGAAAGCCUGACGGAGCAACGCCGCGUGAGUGAAGAAGGUCUUCGGAUCGUAAAACUCCGUUAUUAGGGAAGAACAAAUGUGUAAGUAACUAUGCACGUCUUGACGGUACCUAAUCAGAAAGCCACGGCUAACUACGUG